rnacentral:lncRNA from 1 species
AUCCCAUAAGAAUCUAGGCACAGAGUCAGCCGUCUUAGCAAUAAUAUGAGCGACUUGAUUUCCUGGUCUCUUAACAAAAGCAUAAGAAAUUUGUAACUCAUGAAGUAGAGUCUUACAAUCUUGAAUAAUCAAUACAAAAUAAGAAAUUUCUUGAAACGGAGAAGCUAAAACUUGAACCACUGUUUCACAAUCUGUCUCAAUACAAACCGAGGAGAAAGACAAUAGCUUUAAUCAACUCAAUGCUUUUUGGAAACACAAAGCCUCCUCAAUCUGUGGAUCCCCAAACCCUGGAACUACCACAAGUUGGCCUGCACAAGAACUACUUCCAACAUCACGAACUAUCAUACCCAACCCAUACGAACCAUUAGGCUAAAUAGAAACAUCCACGUUACAUUUAUAUUGACCAGGAAGAGGAGGUUUUCAAAACAUAGACCUCUUCUGCUGUCGACUUGAUUGCUGCAACUCUAUUAACCACCAUAGAUGGGCUCUGAAACUGCUACCUCCAUACCACAUCAUUACGGUGUGUCCAAAUCCUCCAAAAGACCAUGAGCACCUCCUCUCUCUGAACCAUAGGCAUUGAAGAAACAACACAUUGCAACAGAUUCACUAAACUCAAAUGGGGCAUCCAACCCAUAGGUGAUAAAAGCCAACAAGACUUAGCAAAUGUACAAUUAUAGAGAAUAUGUAGAUUAGUUUCAUUUGCAAAGCCACAAACUGGACAUACCUCAUCAAUAUCAACAUGUCGACCUCGAAUUGUGGAUUUACAAGGAAGCACUUCUCGCAAAAUGCGCCAAACCAGUAGCUGGACUUUAGCAAGAACGUGAACUUUCCAUAUCGACUGCUAUGGAAAACCUUGAAAAAUAAAAUCUGU